GGGCUAAUGGUCUAGAGGUAUGAUUCGCCCUUCGGGUUAUUCCGGGAUGCAACGUGGCUUCUCAAUGGGCGAGGCCCCCGGUUCGAUCCCGGGUUAGCCCC